CGGAGUCGUCCAGUAUUCUUGAGUUCAAAAGAUUUGAGAGCUGAGAGGUGACCACGACUUCGACAAAUCUACAGGCACUAAAUUUCUAACUUUAAAAAGAAGAAAUCGAAAGUGUCACCUAGUUACUGACGAAAGGUGUCUACAUAGUUAUGGGUCGUCCAUAGCCACUGAAGCUCGAAAGGCCGAUGUGAUUUCACCUAAAAGCUUAUAGAGGGUCGAACCUCGAAUCAGUCCGGCAGGGUUGAAUAAGCGGAUUAAGUGGAGAGUAGUUAGUAACUCAAGUAGUGAUUGGUCUAACCAAUUGACACUGACAGAAUACUUCUCAAAAGGAAGUGGAUAAGAAGGGAAACCAUAAUCUAACAAAAGUUCUGUCUUUAUAAGGUGUAAUCUCAGCCU
rnacentral:ncRNA from 1 species